GACGAACGCUGGCGGCGUGCCUAAUACAUGCAAGUCGAGCGCAGGAAACUGACGGAACUCUUCGGAGGGAAGGCAGCGGAAUGAGCGGCGGACGGGUGAGUAACACGUAAGGAACCUGCCUCAAGGAUUGGGAUAACUCCGAGAAAUCGGAGCUAAUACCGGAUAGUUCAUCGGACCGCAUGGUCCGCUGAUGAAAGGCGCUCCGGCGUCACCUUGAGCUGGCCUUGCGGUGCAUUAGCUAGUUGGUGGGGUAACGGCCCACAAAGGCGACGAUGCAUAGCCGACCUGAGAGGGUGAUCGGCCACACUGGGACUGAGACACGGCCCAGACUCCUACGGGAGGCAGCAGUAGGGAAUCUUCCACAAUGGACGAAAGUCUGAUGGAGCAACGCCGCGUGAGUGAUGAAGGUUUUCGGAUCGUAAAACUCUGCUGUAAGGGAAGAACACGUACGAGAGGGAAUGCUCGUACCUUGACGGUACCUUACGAGAAAGCCACGGCUAACUACGUGCCAGCAGCCGCGGUAA
rnacentral:rRNA from 1 species